AGUGAACGCUGGCGGUAGGCCUAACACAUGCAAGUCGAACGGCAGCACAGUAAUAGCUUGCUCUUACGGGUGGCGAGUGGCGGACGGGUGAGGAAUACAUCGGAAUCUACUUUUUCGUGGGGGAUAACGUAGGGAAACUUACGCUAAUACCGCAUACGACCUACGGGUGAAAGCAGGGGAGCUUCGGACCUUGCGCGAUUGAAUGAGCCGAUGUCGGAUUAGCUAGUUGGCGGGGUAAAGGCCCACCAAGGCGACGAUCCGUAGCUGGUCUGAGAGGAUGAUCAGCCACACUGGAACUGAGACACGGUCCAGACUCCUACGGGAGGCAGCAGUGGGGAAUAUUGGACAAUGGGCGCAAGCCUGAUCCAGCCAUACCGCGUGGGUGAAGAAGGCCUUCGGGUUGUAAAGCCCUUUUGUUGGGAAAGAAAAGCAGCAGGUUAAUACCCCGCUGUUCUGACGGUACCCAAAGAAUAAGCACCGGCUAACUUCGUG
rnacentral:rRNA from 1 species